AAAGGUGUAUAAAUAAAAAGGAUUAAGGUCUAAAAGACCUAAAAUAUAAAUAAAUCUCUAAAAUUCUAAUUCUUCUCAUUUAUAAAAAUAGCAAUAAUAUAACAAUAAAUAAAAAAACAAAAAGAAGAAAAAAAACCAAAAGAAAAACCCAAAGGCCAAGGUACUAGGGGAAGGCGCCACCCCCUUUUCCUUUCUUUCAAUCCCAUGAUCUUUUUUUUUUAUUUAAAAAAAACAAGACCAAGUCAUGGAAAUAUAAAU
rnacentral:lncRNA from 1 species